rnacentral:rRNA from 1 species
GAUGAACGCUGACAGAAUGCUUAACACAUGCAAGUCGACUCGAGUCUUCGGACUUGGGUGGCGCACGGGUGAGUAACGCGUAAAGAACUUGCCUCUUAGACCGGGACAACAGUUGGAAACGACUGCUAAUACCGCAUAAGCCCACAGCUCGGCAUCGAGCAGAGGGAAAAGGAGUGAUCCGCUUUGAGAUGGCCUCGCGUCCGAUUAGCUGGUUGGUGAGGUAACGGCCCACCAAGGCAACGAUCGGUAGCCGGACUGAGAGGUUGAACGGCCACAUUGGGACUGAGACACGGCCCAG